AGACUUGGGGUUUACCCAUAACUGACAAUUAUACAAUUUAUUUUUUUCUUCAUUUACAUUAGCUUUCUCUAGGUUUGUGCUGUAGACUAGGACACAGCACCAGAAGAUGGAAUCUAUGAGUAUAUUAACACUGCCAAAUGGUUAGAAAUACACACCCUAAGAAUUCUUCCUUUCACUUUUAUUUUACAAUUGCUAUUUCAUUCCUUUCUUUAAGUAUUUGAGUUUGUCAUUUUCUAGGGAAGGAAACAAACAAUAACAGCUGAUAACACUAAACUGCUGCAACCUGUAAAUUCCUACUUACUGUGAGCUCUGCACAUAGCAACAUAGUCUGUAUUAGUAACCUAGAACUGUGCACAACAAACCCAACUUACAGCUAACUCAGUGUCAUUUUGCUACAUAUUUUAAUGUGCUUUAAUACUAUGUCCCAUAUAAAGAUUAAGUUCAUAUCAUUCUGAAUUCCUACAUUUCAUUGUAUUGGAUGUGUAGACACAGAUUUCAGUAAUCUCAUAUUUAACAGGGAUUUCUGUAGAACACCACUAGAUGUCAAUAUUCUUGGUAAAAUGGUAACAGUUCAAGGAUUUAGGCACUGGAUCCUGCCACCCUUACUCAAACAGUCCUACUGUAUUCAGUAACAGUAGAACUACUCCUGUGAGCAAGGUCCCAUAAUUGUCCUUUUUUCCUUACACAGGUCACAAAUGUUGUGAAAAAUAGGCUUCGUUACGUAUUAAAGCAUAGAAGCAUUUUGUGUUUACAUGUGCCCAUCUACUAUGGAAUGAAAUACUUGUAAAACUGUUUUAUUUGGAUUUUUAUUUCUAUUUACACUUAUUUCAAUAGGCUGAGUCUGCUCUAAUUUAGGCCAGAGCUCAUAUUGGCCCCUUUAAUCCUGGGGCUUAAAGGAGAUGGAGAGGGGUAAUAACACCACUGUUGCCCCCUACCUUUCAAAAGGGCUGAAUUUAGGUUAGGCACAUUUGAAGGUUGAGUCCUAAAUGUGGAAUUGCUGAAUACAAAAUCAACAGUUUGUCUUCCUUCAGAUUGUGACAGGGCUGCAUGCCCAACCAGUUGCUGAUAUUCCAAGUACCACAGCAGUGAAUGCCACCAUUUCAGAAAGCAGAACACUGUUCUUCAGUUAUAAAACAAUCAUACAAAAUUCAAAGUCGAGAAUACUUCUAUGAGUCACUAAACUUCAAAAUGUUUGUUUAACCUUUCCUAUUGACUAUAAGCUUUAGAAAUUCCACUCCAAAUACAGCUAACUGAAAACAUCAAGAAAUGUGGAAUGUUUGCUGCACAAAUGAAGUGAUUUGGACAGCAUCCAUUUACUGCUUCUCCCAUGGGUUGGCAAAACCAAUAAUACUCAGCAACUGGCAUGUACAAAGUACUACAAACAUUAGCUACUGAAUUCUAACAGCAUUCCUAUGAGUUAAACUUGUAUGGUUAUCCCUGUGUUAGAGGGGAAACUAAGCAGAGAGAUGAAGAGAUUUUCUCAAGGUCACACAAUAGGUCGGUGGUGAAUGAGGAUUAGAAAUUAAGAGGGAAAUCCUGGCCCCGCUGAAGUCAAUAGGACUUUUGCUACUGGGGCCCAGGUUUUACCCAAAGACUUCUUAACUCUAAACCCUCUCCUCAUUUCUCCAACCAUGUUGCUAUUCCUAAAUUAAAAUAUUAUAUAAAAUACAUGCAACUUCUAAAAGUUUAACAUGAUUACUCAGUUUGGCAACAUUGCCCAGCGGGGAACCACAUGAUGCAUCUAAUCCAAAGUGGCAGCAGUCCAUCAUCAUAUGAAAAUACUAACAUAUAGAAGGGAUUUUUCUUUAAAAGAGUGAGAAAGAAGGGAGAACAGUUUCUUAAGUGGAUGUUAGUUUUCUUCACUUGCCUGUUGCCAGUCCAGCUCCAUAGAUUUGUUUUACCUGCCACUUCUAGGAGAGUACUUCAAGGCCAUUAGCAUUCCAGAAAGUUUCAAAUCUUCCCAGAGCAAUGAAAAAUUGUAACUUCUACAGUAAGGCCAUGUCUACAUUGCAUAUAGCUGACGCAGACUAUCGGUUGUGUGCAUGCAUAUUUGGCUCCUUGUGUCAGUAGGGCACAUACUCACCAGGAGUGCUUGUAUUGAUGCAGAGUGCAGUGCACAAUGGAUAGGUAUGCAACUCAUCAUCAUCCAGCGCUCUGUCUUUUGGGAAGUUUUGGCAAUGUGUGAUGCGGCUGAAAUAUGUUGUAGACAGUUGACUGGGAGCAUGGAGUCAACUUCCCAGUUUGCAACUGUAUCCUUCCCAUAAUGUCAUCUAUAUCCCAUAAUUUUCAUACCUUUUUUUUAAAAUCCAAAACCUGCAUGGCUUUCCUUACUGUCCAUCAUCUCUGACAGAAGCAGGGAGCCUGCAAAGCUCUGCACUAUUGGCAUGAGUGUUGCAAGCACAAGGCACAUGAUUCUGGAGUAUGUGCAGAGGAGUGGGGAGCAUGAUGAUCCCUUAGAGGACAACUUGCUGAGGGAUAUAGUGAAAACCAAUUCAAAGUUGUUGGUGGAAUUCACUAGGCAGCUGCAGAUGGUGGAGCACCAUUUCUGGGCCCAAGAAUCAAGCACUGACUGAUGGAAUCAAAUCGUCAUGCAGGUUUGAGAUGAAGGGCAGUGGCUGUAGAACUUUUGGAUGCACAAGGUCACAUUCCUGGAUCUGUGUGCCAACCUCACCGCAGACCUCCAGCUCAGGGACACCAAAUGAAAGGUACACUGACAAAUGAGUGGCAAUAGCACUGUGGAAAUCUACAAUGCCAAAGAAUCCAUUUGGAGUUGGGAAAUCCAUUGCAGGGGCCAUUAUCAUGCAAGUGUGCUGGGCCAUUAAUCGCCUCCUGUUAUGCAGGUUUGUGACUCCUGGAAAUGGGAAGGACAUAGUGGAUGGAUUUGCAGCCAUGGGGGUUUCUGAACUACGGGGAGAGUGAUAGAUGACAUGUAUGUCCAUAUUUUGGCAUCAGAAACAACUUGCCACAGACCACAUCAACAGAAAAGGCUACUUUUCUGUGGUUAUGCAAGCGCUGGUGGAACACCAGGGAUGCUUCAUCGACAUCAGUGUUGGCAGGUCAGGGAAAGUGCAUGACACUCCCAUCUUUAAGAACACAGGACUGUUCAGAAAACUGCGAGCAGGGACUUUCUUUCCCGACUGGCAUAUUACCAUUAGCAAUGUUGAAAUGCCAGUACUGAUCCUGGGGGACCAGCCUGUGGGAGAGAGAG